UACGGAGGGGGCUAGCGUUGUUCGGAAUGACUGGGCGUAAAGCGCGCGUAGGCGGAUCGGGUAGUUGGGGGUGAAAGCCCAGGGCUCAACCCUGGAAUGGCCUUCAAAACUCCCGAUCUAGAGUUCGAGAGAGGUGAGUGGAAUUCCGAGUGUAGAGGUGAAAUUCGUAGAUAUUCGGAGGAACACCAGUGGCGAAGGCGGCUCACUGGCUCGACACUGACGCUGAGGUGCGAAAGCGUGGGGAGCGAACAGG
rnacentral:rRNA from 1 species